ACGAGGGGCCCGAGCGUUAAUCGGAAUUACUGGGCUUAAAGGGUGCGCAGGCUGGCCCGAAAGCAUCUUGUGAAAUCCCCCGGCUCAACCGGGGAAUUGCGGGGCGAACCGCCGGUCUUGAGGCAGGUAGGGGCCAGUGGAACCAUGGGUGGAGCGGUGAAAUGCGUAGAUAUCCAUGGGAACGCCGAUGGCGAAGGCAGCUGGCUGGGCCUGUCCUGACGCUCAGGCACGAAAGCGUGGGGAGCAAACGG
rnacentral:rRNA from 1 species